AUAAACGCUGGCGGCGUGCUUAACACAUGCAAGUCGAACGGAGUGGUCCUCCCGAAGACCUGAUUGAGCUUGCUCUUGAUGGAAUUCAUUUGGAUCACUUAGUGGCGGACGGGUGAGUAACGCGUGGGUAACCUGCCCUAUACUGGGGGAUAGCAGUUGGAAACGACCGAUAAUACCGCAUAAGCGCACAGCAUCGCAUGGUGCAGUGUGAAAAACUCCGGUGGUAUAGGAUGGACCCGCGUCUGAUUAGCUAGUUGGUGAGGUAACGGCCCACCAAGGCGACGAUCAGUAGCCGGCCUGAGAGGGUGUACGGCCACAUUGGGACUGAGACACGGCCCAAACUCCUACGGGAGGCAGCAGUGGGGAAUAUUGGACAAUGGGGGAAACCCUGAUCCAGCGAACCGCCGCGUGAGUGAAGAAGUAUCUCGGUAUGUAAAGCUCUAUCAGCAGGGAAGAUAAUGACGGUACCUGACUAAGAAGCACCGGCUAAAUACGUGCCAGCCGCCGC
rnacentral:rRNA from 1 species